UUUUAUAGAUUACACAGUCACUAAUGAACUAUGAGUUAAGAACUGUAUGAGUAUGAUUCUGAAGGAACUGAUGGCAGUGAUGCAGUUAUAGAGAUUUCAGAUUCGGACGAAACUUUGCCGCCAUCUGACAAACAAACACAGCCACCUCUGGAGGAAUGUGGUCAGGAAGUUGAAUGGUCCCAGUCACCUUAGGAUAUUUUGAUUAUUAUUUUUAUAUUCCAUCCUAUGGUGAUCGGAGACUAAGAAAAUAAUGUAGACAAAUGAG